rnacentral:rRNA from 1 species
AACUAUAACGGUCCUAAGGUAGCGAAAUUCCUUGUCAGGUAAGUUCUGACCCGCAUGAAAGGCGUAAUGAUUUGGGCACUGUCUCAACAGCCCGCCCGGCGAAAUUGUAGUACCGGUGAAGAUGCCGGUUACCCGCGACAAGACGGAAAGACCCCAUGGAGCUUUACUGUAGCCUAAUAUUGGGUUUCGAUGUUGCAUGCACAGGAUAGAUGGGACACUGGGAAGCAAGUGCUUUGGCGCUUGUGGAGUGGCCGUUGGGAUACCAUCCUUGCGAUAUUGGAAUUCUAACCUGCGCCUUUGAAUCAAGGCGGGGGACAUUGUUAGGUGGGCAGUUUGACUGGGGCGGUCGCCUCCUAAAGAGUAACGGAGGCGUUCAAAGGUUCGCUCAGCUUGAACGGAAAUCAAGCAAAAGAGUGCAAACGCAGAAGCGAGCCUAACUGCGAGACUGACGGGUCGAGCAGUAACGAAAGUUGGAGUUAGUGAUCCGGUGGUAUGUGAGUGGAAAUGCCAUCGCUCAACGGAUAAAAGCUACCCUGGGGAUAACAGGCUGAUCUCCCCCAAGAGUCCACAUCGACGGGGAGGUUUGGCACCUCGAUGUCGGCUCAUCGCAUCCUGGGGCUGUAUUCGGUCCCAAGGGUUUGGCUGUUCGCCAAUUAAAGCGGUACGCGAGCUGGGUUCAGAACGUCGUGAGACAGUUCGGUCCCUAUCUGUCGUGGGCGCAGGAUAUUUGAGGAGAGCUGUCCUUAGUACGAGAGGACCGGGAUGGACGCACCGCUGGUGCACCAGUUGUCAUGCCAAUGGCACGGCUGGGCAGCUAAGUGCGGACGGGAUAAACGCUGAAAGCAUCUAAGCGUGAAGCCCCCUCCAAGAUAAGAUAUCCCACAGCUUAAGCUGGUAAGACCCCUCAUGGACUAUGAGGUUGAUAGGCUGCAGGUGUAAGAGUAGUGAUACUUUCAGCUGGGCAGUACUAAUAGGUCGAGGGCUUGACCAU